AGUACCAUAAUGGCUGUGGUUAACAGAUGUCUGAAGGUCCUCUUCAUUGGAAUAAAUAUAAUACACAUAAUUUUAGCUGGUGUGGUUUAUACACUAGCUGUUCUGCUGGGCUACAACACCCAGGGACAAGAUGUGGGGCUUGUACUGAUAGCAAUGUGGCUACUGGGUUCAGGAGUCUUGGUGGUGGCUAGCCUUGGUAUCCAUGGUGCCAGAAAAGAGAAGAAGUGGCCCCUGAUCUCGUUGAGCCAGUUGAUCGACAACGUGCCAAAUGAAGCUUGGAUUCUCGAUGCUGGAUUAACUGUCAGCCUUAGCCUUGCUGCCUUAUGUUUCACCGGGAUUACCCUGGCAGCCAUGAUCAUGGUUCAGCUCCACAGCCGGCAGCCUGCCAUGACAGAUGUUGAGGGUGAACCCCCAAGAUACUCACAGAUGUGCCCAAUGAGCAGCAAGUCAGCGGAGAGCUGGACAUACAGGAUUCUCCCAAAUCACCACACAGCUAAUGACACAAAAUAAAGAAAUACACAUGACUAAGAAUUAGGUCAAAAUGUCUGUGAUGCAUCUGAAAAAUGUCUGCCUCUCUCUGUCAUGCACUCUCUCUCACACACACUCUCUCACAACAAACACACACACAUAAGGGCACAUAUUAAAGAAAUGCACAUGACUAAGAAUUAAGUCAAAAUGUCUGUGAUGUAUCUGAAAAAUCUCUGCCUCUCUCUCUGUCAUGCACUCACUCUCUCUCACACAACAAACACACACACACACACACACACAUAAUGGCACAUAUUAAAGAAAUACAUAUGAAUA
ensembl:lncRNA